UAGGGAAUCUUCCGCAAUGGACGCAAGUCUGACGGAGCAACGCCGCGUGAGUGAAGAAGGAUUUCGGUUCGUAAAACUCUGUUGUUAGAGAAGAACAGCGCAUAGAGUAACUGUUAUGCGUGUGACGGUAUCUAACCAGAAAGCCACGGCUAACUACGUGCCAGCAGCCGCGGUAAUACGUAGGUGGCAAGCGUUGUCCGGAUUUAUUGGGCGUAAAGCGAGCGCAGGCGGUCAAUUAAGUCUGAUGUGAAAGCCCCCGGCUCAACCGGGGAGGGUCAAUGGAAACUGGUUGACUUGAGUGCAGAAGAGGAGAGUGGAAUUCAAUGUGUAGCGGUGAAAUGCGUAGAUAUAUGGAGGAACACCAGUGGCGAAGGCGACUCUCUGGUCUGUAACUGACGCUGAGGCUCGAAAGCGUGGGUAGCAAACAGG
rnacentral:rRNA from 1 species